UACGUAGGGGGCUAGCGUUGUCCGGAAUCAUUGGGCGUAAAGCGCGUGUAGGCGGCCCGGUAAGUCCGCUGUGAAAGUCCAGGGCUCAACCCUGGGAUGCCGGUGGAUACUGUCGGGCUCGAGUCCGGAAGAGGCGAGUGGAAUUCCCGGUGUAGCGGUGAAAUGCGCAGAUAUCGGGAAGAACACCCGUGGCGAAGGCGGCUCUCUGGGACGGUACUGACGCUGAGACGCGAAAGCGUGGGGAGCGAACAGG
rnacentral:rRNA from 1 species